UCCACUCGAUCUCCUAUGCUUUUCUUCAUCUUCUUCUUUAAAUCCAUAUCUUUCUACAUCUGAGACGCAAAAGGCAAUGGUUGCACGAGCAUUGAAACCAAAAUCCAUCAGCGACCCACGGAUCCUCCAUGCCCAAACUCUAAAAUCCCCGCACUUUGUAUACUGGAACUCAUUUUCCUAGCUCUUUCGCACCCACCAACAGCGUUCGACCAUAAUCC
rnacentral:lncRNA from 1 species